GUUGUAUAGUCAAGUAAUGAAGUGCACAUGGUGGAUGCCUUGGCAGUCAGAGGCGAUGAAAGACGUGACAGCCUGCGAAAAGCGUCGGGGAGGCGGCAAUAUCCUGUGAUCCGGCGAUAUCUGAAUGGGGAAACCCACCUACCAUAAGGUAGGUACCCCGCUAUAUUUUAUAGCGGGGGGCAAACCGGGAGAAGUGAAACAUCUCAGUAACCCGAGGAAAAGA
rnacentral:rRNA from 1 species